rnacentral:tRNA from 1 species
AAGGAUGGGUCUUCAUCAGCUUGCUGAUAUCGACCUGUUUUAGAAACAUCAGAGGCUCUAAGUCAUACGAGCCUCAUUGGCGGGAUUUCGCCGUCUUCGUUUCUCUUUCUUCGCGGACGAACACGCGCCUGGGGUGCGCGCAAGUCGAUCGGCCUGGCGUCUGCCGGCUGGUGGUUUGCUUGCGGCCUCUCGUGCUGAGGGCUUGUAGCUCAGUUGGUUAGAGCGCGCGCUUGAUAAGCGUGAGGUCGGAAGUUCAAGUCUUCCCAGGCCCACCAUUUUGUCGAGCGCUGCAUUCGUCUUCUGGUUACGGGGCCAUAGCUCAGCUGGGAGAGCGCGUGCUUUGCAAGCAUGAGGUCGUCGGUUCGAUCCCGUCUGGCUCCACCAGCCUUCGCUGGCGGGACGCCAGUUACGGCUCGGCUGGCCUUCGAAGGCUGCCGCGGCGAAGCUCUUUGGAGCGUAGCCGGGCUGAUCGCCAUGACCAUGCUCGCGCCUCGUUGCUGUCAUCCGGACAGCGACGAUGGCUCAUCGUCCGCAACUUGUAUUCGCCGGCUUUGCGCAAUGCGCAGCCUGGCGGGUUUUCUGACAUCGUGAAGAGGAGAUCGAUCCGGGUUCGGGUCUUGUAGAGCAAUCUACGGGGCACCGUUCGCGUAUCUCCAGAUCGUUUUCGGCGCAUGCCGGUCGCAAGACCUGCGUGUUGUAAAACGGUCUUUGUUGGCGAGCUUGACCGCACGCCAUCGGUUCGAUCUUACGAAGCAAUAACUGGUCUUUUCAUUCAAUGUCCGUUUGCAAGACGCGUCCUUCGGGAUGGCUUGCAAGUACAUUCUGCCGAGUGUGUGGACAUUGAUAAUGAGAGCAAUCAA